GAUGAACGCUGGCGGCGUGCCUAAUACAUGCAAGUCGAGCGAACAGACGAGGAGCUUGCUCCUCUUACGUUAGCGGCGGACGGGUGAGUAACACGUGGAUAACCUACCUAUAAGACUGGGAUAACUUCGGGAAACCGGAGCUAAUACCGGAUAAUAUAUUGAACCGCAUGGUUCAAUAGUGAAAGACGGUUUUGCUGUCACUUAUAGAUGGAUCCGCGCCGCAUUAGCUAGUUGGUAAGGUAACGGCUUACCAAGGCAACGAUGCGUAGCCGACCUGAGAGGGUGAUCGGCCACACUGGAACUGAGACACGGUCCAGACUCCUACGGGAGGCAGCAGUAGGGAAUCUUCCGCAAUGGGCGAAAGCCUGACGGGGCAACGCCGCGUGAGUGAUGAAGGUCUUCGGAUCGUAAAACUCUGUUAUUAGGGAAGAACAAAUGUGUAAGUAACUAUGCACGUCUUGACGGUACCUAAUCAGAAAGCCACGGCUAACUACGUG
rnacentral:rRNA from 1 species